UUUCCGUAGGUGAACCUGCGGAAGGAUCAUUAAUGUGUUUGGGCUUCACGGCUCUUCAUUCCGACGCUGUGCGCCUUCGGGCUGCAUGCUGAGGGAGCUUGUAUCCACCCUUGUGCACACACACGGUGGCGAGCCGGGUAACGGCUCGCCUCUGACCUUUACACAAGUCUAUGUGUCAUUGUAUUUAUAUUUAAGUAAUAGACACAACUUUCAGCAACGGAUCUCUUGGCUCUU
rnacentral:misc_RNA from 1 species